UGGGGAAUAUUGCACAAUGGGGGAAACCCUGAUGCAGCGACGCCGCGUGAGCGAAGAAGGUUUUCGAAUCGUAAAGCUCUGUCCUAUGAGAAGAUAAUGACGGUAUCAUAGGAGGAAGCCCCGGCUAAUUACGUGCCAGCAGCCGCGGUAAUACGUAUGGGGCGAGCGUUGUCCGGAAUUAUUGGGCGUAAAGGGUACGUAGGCGGUCUAUUAAGUCAGGUGUGAAAGCGUGAGGCUUAACCUCAUUAAGCACUUGAAACUGAUAGACUUGAGUGAAGGAGAGGAAAGUGGAAUUCCUAGUGUAGCGGUGAAAUGCGUAGAUAUUAGGAGGAAUACCGGUGGCGAAGGCGACUUUCUGGACUUUUACUGACGCUCAGGUACGAAAGCGUGGGGAGCAAACAGG
rnacentral:rRNA from 1 species